GAUGAACGCUGGCGGCGUGCUUAACACAUGCAAGUCGAACGAGGAUUUAACGGAAUGCGAUUCGUCAAAUGAAAUUAAAUCCGAGUGGCGGACGGGUGAGUAACGCGUGGAUAACCUGCCUCACACAGGGGGACAACAGUUGGAACGACUGCUAAUACCGCAUAACACAAGUAAUUCGCAUGAAUAACUUGCCAAAGAUUAUAUCGGUGUGAGAUGGAUCCGCGUCUGAUUAGCCAGUUGGCGGGGUAACGGCCCGACCAAAGACGACGAUCAGUAGCCGACCUGAGAGGGUGACCGGCCACAUUGGGACUGAGACACGGCCCAAACUCCUACGGGAGGCAGCAGUGGGGAAUAUUGC
rnacentral:rRNA from 1 species